GAUGAACGCUGGCGGCGUGCCUAAUACAUGCGAGUCGAGCGAACAGACGAGGAGCUUGCUCCUCUGACGUUAGCGGCGGACGGGUGAGUAACACGUGGAUAACCUACCUAUAAGACUGGGAUAACUUCGGGAAACCGGAGCUAAUACCGGAUAAUAUAUUGAACCGCAUGGUUCAAUAGUGUAAGACGGUUUUGCUGUCACUUAUAGAUGGAUCCGCGCCGCAUUAGCUAGUUGGUAAGGUAACGGCUUACCAAGGCGACGAUGCGUAGCCGACCUGAGAGGGUGAUCGGCCACACUGGAACUGAGACACGGUCCAGACUCCUACGGGAGGCAGCAGUAGGGAAUCUUCCGCAAUGGGCGAAAGCCUGACGGAGCAACGCCGCGUGAGUGAUGAAGGUCUUCGGAUCGUAAAACUCUGUUAUUAGGGAAGAACAAAUGUGUAAGUAACUAUGCACGUCUUGACGGUACCCAAUCAGAAAGCCACGGCUAACUACGUGC
rnacentral:rRNA from 1 species